AUAUCAAUAAGCGGAGGAAAAGAAACUAACAAGGAUUCCCCUAGUAACGGCGAGUGAAGCGGGAAGAGCUCAAAUUUUAAAUCUUACAGGUUUACCUGUACGAAUUGUAGUUUAAAGAAACGUUUUCGGAUCAGAUGUGGGUGUAAGUCCUUUGGAAAAAGGCAUCAUGGAGGGUGAGAAUCCCGUUCUUAAUCCACUUUCUGGUCUGUGUGAUACGUUUUCCAAGAGUCGGUUUGUUUGGGAAUGCAGACCAAAAUGGGUGGUAAAUACCAUCUAAAGCUAAAUAUUGGCGAGAGACCGAUAGCGCACAAGUA
rnacentral:rRNA from 1 species